rnacentral:rRNA from 1 species
AUCCGCCCGUACCGUAAACCGACACAGGUAGGCGGGGAGAGAAUCCUAAGGUGCGCGGGAAAACCCUCGUUAAGGAACUCGGCAAAUUGCAUCCGUAACUUCGGAAGAAGGAUGGCCCUGAGUAGGCGAAAAGUCAAGCACUUGGAACCGGAAAGGGCGGCAGAAAAGAGGCCCAAGCAACUGUUUACCAAAAACACAGGUGCCUGCGAAAGCGAAAGCUGACGUAUAGGUGCUGACGCCUGCCCGGUGCUGGAAGGUUAAGGAGAGAGGUUAGCGCAAGCGAAGCUUUGAACUGAAGCCCCAGUGAACGGCGGCCGUAACUAUAACGGUCCUAAGGUAGCGAAAUUCCUUGUCGGGUAAGUUCCGACCCGCACGAAAGGUGUAACGAUUUGGGCACUGUCUCAACGAGGGACCCGGUGAAAUUGAAAUACCUGUGAAGAUGCAGGUUACCCGCGACUGGACAGAAAGACCCCAUGGAGCUUUACUGCAGCUUGAGACGGAAUCUCGGAAGUAGACGCACAGGAUAGGUGGGAGGCUUUGAAACAUACACUUAGGUGGAUGUGGAGCCGCUGUUGGGAUACCACCCUUCUAGUUCUGGGAUUCUAACGCGAGGAGUAACGACCCUGCGGACAAUCUCAGGCAGGCGGUUUGACUGGGGCGGUCGCCUCCGAAAGAGUAACGGAGGCGCCCAAAGGUUCCCUCAGGCCGGACAGAAACCGGCCGACGAGUGCAAAGGCAGAAGGGAGCUUGACUGCGAGACCUACAAGUCGAGCAGAGACGAAAGUCGGGCUUAGUGAUCCGGUGGCCCUGCGUGGAAAGGCCAUCGCUCAACGGAUAAAAGCUACCCUGGGGAUAACAGGCUAAUCUCUCCCAAGAGUCCAUAUCGACGGGGAGGUUUGGCACCUCGAUGUCGGCUCAUCACAUCCUGGGGCUGGAGUAGGUCCCAAGGGUUGGGCUGUUCGCCCAUUAAAGUGGUACGCGAGCUGGGUUCAAAACGUCGUGAGACAGUUUGGUUCAUAUCCAUCGCGGGCGCAAGAAGUUUGAGGGAAGCUGCUCCUAGUACGAGAGGACCGGAGUGGACGGAUCAACGGUGUACCAGUUGUCACGCCAGUGGCACGGCUGGAAAGCCGCAUCCGGAAGGGAUAAACGCUGAAAGCAUCUAAGCGUGAAGCCCACCCCGAGAUGAGACUUCUCAUCAGAAAUGAGUAAGACUCCUUAUAGACUAUGAGGUUGAUAGGCCGCAAGUGGAAGCGCAGCGAUGUGCGGAGCGAUGCGGUACUAAUAAGUCGAGGUCUUAACUUA